rnacentral:rRNA from 1 species
UACGUAGGGGGCAAGCGUUGUCCGGAAUCAUUGGGCGUAAAGAGCGUGUAGGCGGCCCGAUAAGUCCGCUGUGAAAGUCCAGGGCUCAACCCUGGAAUGCCAGUGGAAACUGUCGGGCUGGAGUUCGGAAGAGGCGAGUGGAAUUCCUGGUGUAGCGGUGAAAUGCGCAGAUAUCAGGAGGAACACCAAUGGCGAAGGCAGCUCGCUGGGACGGUACUGACGCUGAGACGCGAAAGCGUGGGGAGCAAACAGG